UUCUUGACCUUGGCCGGAAGGUCUAGGUAAUCUUUUGAGUGUGCAUCGUGAUGGGGAUAGAUUAUUGCAAUUAUUAAUCUUCAACGAGGAAUGCCUAGUAGGCGUAAGUCAGCAGCUUGCGCCGAUUACGUCCCUGCCCUUUGUACACACCGCCCGUCGCUGCAACCGAUCGGAGGGUCCUGUGAACUCAAUGGACUGAUCAACUCCUUUUUGGGUGUUGGUCGGGAAGUUGCGUAAAUAGAGCCCUCUAAAGGAUGCAAAAGUCGUAACACGGUUUCCGUAGGUGAACCUGCGGAAGGAUCAUUC
rnacentral:rRNA from 1 species